rnacentral:rRNA from 1 species
GAUGAACGCUAGCGGCAGGCCUAACACAUGCAAGUCGAGGGGCAGCACUGAAGUAAGCAAUUACUUUUGGUGGCGACCGGCGGACGGGUGCGUAACGCGUAUGCAACCUACCAUCAACAGGGGGAUAAUUCGGAGAAAUCUGGUCUAAUACCCCAUAACAUAAGAACCGGCAUCGGUUUUUGUUCAAAGCUCCGGCGGUUGAUGAUGGGCAUGCGUUGUAUUAGAUAGUUGGUGAGGUAACGGCUCACCAAGGCGACGAUACAUAGGGGGACUGAGAGGUUAACCCCCCACACUGGUACUGAGACACGGACCAGACUCCUACGGGAGGCAGCAGUGAGGAAUAUUGGUCAAUGGACGGAAGUCUGAACCAGCCAUGCCGCGUGCAGGAUGACGGCUCUAUGAGUUGUAAACUGCUUUUGUACCAGGGUAAUUGCGUCUACGUGUAGACGUUUGAAAGUAUGGUACGAAUAAGGAUCGGCUAACUCCGUGCCAGCAGCCGCGGUAAUACGGAGGAUCCGAGCGUUAUCCGGAUUUAUUGGGUUUAAAGGGUGCGUAGGCUGUUCGGUAAGUUAGAGGUGAAAGGUUAACGCUUAACGUUGAAAUUGCCUCUGAUACUGCCGGGCUAGAGUUUAGUUGCUGUGGGCGGAAUGAGUAGUGGUAGCGGUGAAAUGCUUAGAUAUUACUCAGAACACCGAUUGCGAAGGCAGCUCACAAAGCUAUAACUUGACGCUGAGGCACGAAAGCGUGGGGAUCAAACAGGAUUAGAUACCCCUGUAGUCCACGCCGUAAACGAUGAUAACUCGUUGCAGGCGAAUAUACGGUCUGUGACUUAACGAAAGCG